rnacentral:rRNA from 1 species
UACGUAGGGGGCAAGCGUUGUCCGGAAUUAUUGGGCGUAAAGAGCGCGUAGGCGGUCCGAUAAGUCGGCUGUGAAAGUCAGGGGCUCGAACCCUUGGAAGCCGGCCCGAUACUGUCGGACUAGGAGUCCGGAAGAGGCGAGUGGAAUUCCCGGUGUAGCGGUGAAAUGCGCAGAUAUCGGGAGGAACACCAAUGGCGAAGGCAGCUC